CAAUAGCGUAUAUUUAAGUUGUUGCAGUUAAAAGCUCGUAGUUGGAUUUCGGGUGAAGAUGACCGGUCUGCCGUUGCGGUACGCACUGGACGUUUUCAUCUUGUUGUCGGGGACGCGCUUCUGGGCUUUAUUGUUCGGGGACGCGGAGUCGGCGCUGUUACUUUGAAAAAUUAGAGUGUUCAAAGCAGGCAAUCGCUCUGAAUACAUUAGCAUGGAAUAACGCUAUAGGACUCUGGUCCUAUUGUGUUGGUCUUCGGGACCGGGAGUAAUGAAUUAAGAGGGAGCAGUUGGGGGGCAUUCGGUAUUUCAUUGUCAGAGGUGAAAUUCUUUGG
rnacentral:rRNA from 1 species